AGCUUUGCACACUGGCAGUAGUUGCCAAUGAGGUUAAUCCGAGGCAUGAUUAUUACUAAUUGAAAACUUUUCCCAAUACCCUGCCAUGAUGACUUGAAAUAUAGUCUACAUUGGCAAUUUUUGACAGUUUCUAUGGAGA